CACACACACACACACACACACACACACACACACACACACACACUCACAUACACACACACACACACACACAUUCACACUCACAUACACACACACACACUCCCGUUGUUUAACCUGUGGUGUCUCCCCCUUAGUGAUGGUGAGAUAAGAUGCUGGGGUUUUGUAACAGACGGUAGGUCAGUGGAGCUGGUUUGUGUAUACGUGUGUGCGUGUGUGUGUGUGUACGUGUGUGUGUGUGUGUGUGUGUGUGUGCUCAGGCCACAGGAUGCAUGGCUGCUCUCAGAGCAGAGAUAAACACACACACUUCCUCUUUCAGAACCACGAGCCUGACUGAGCCACACCACACACACUCCCCUUCUAUGCAAGUCUUACAUAACCACCACCUCAACUCUCUCUCUCACACACACACACACACACUCACACACACACAUACACACCACACCGCAUACACAUGCUAAUAUACAUAAACACACUAACACGGAUCAGCUACAGAACGCAUACACACACACACACACACACACUCACACACACACAAACACACAUACUCAUAUGAAAUCUGCUAAAAUUAAGAAGUUUGACUAUCACUUCUUCUAAAUUGAGAUCACACACACACACACACAUAUACACACAUACACACACACACACACACACACACACACAUAUACACACAUAUACACACAGACACACACACAUACAUACAUACACACACACACACACACACACACACACACAUACAGAAGAAGUAUGUUAGAGAUGGGCCCUCCUCAACAAGGUCAUAGCAAAGACAGAAGAGCUUCCAUCUUUACAGCAAAUAAAAGUUCCUUUCUCUAUCGCUGGGUCUGUGUGAAAGGUUCUGUAUCGUUGAGUGUGUGUGAAAGGUUCUCUAUCGUUGAGUGUGUGUGAAAGGUUCUCUAUCGUUGAGUGUGUGUGAAAGGUUCUCUAUCGUUGAGUGUGUGUGAAAGGUUCUCUAUCGUUGAGUGUGUGUGAAAGGUUCUCUAUCGCUGGAUCUGUGUUAAAGGUUCUCCUUUGUUUCUAUACAGUUCUGGGUGAUGGCAUCACAUUUUACAGUUAUUUACAGUUGUUUAAUGUCUGUGUGAGAGUUUGUGUGUGAGUGUGUAUGUGUGUUAAUGUCUGUGUGAGAGUUUGUGUGCUGAUGUGUUAAUGUGUGUGUGUGUGUGUGUGAAUCAGUGUGUGUGUGUGUGUGUGUGUGUGUGUGUGUGUUUGUGUGUGUGUGUGUUUGCAUGCGGGCAUAUGUAUAUGUAUGUGUGUGUUAAUGUCUGUGUGUGUGUGUAUGAGUGUGUGAAUCAAUGUGUGUGUGUGUGUGUGUGUGUGUGUGAAUCAAUGUGUGUGUGCGUGUGUGUGUGUGUGUGUGUGUGUGAAUCAAUGUGUGUGUGUGUGUGUGUGUGUGUGUGUGUGUGUUAUCUAUCUGCUCAUUCAUGCUGAGGCAUCCCUGUUCCCUACCGGCCUGAUAAG
ensembl:lncRNA